rnacentral:rRNA from 1 species
CCGUGAACCAUCGAGUCUUUGAACGCAAGUUGCGCCCCAAGCCAUUAGGCCGAGGGCACGUCUGCCUGGGUGUCACGC